rnacentral:rRNA from 1 species
CACGGGGGGAGCAAGCGUUGUUCGGAAUUACUGGGCGUAAAGCGCGUGUAGGCGGCCCUGCAAGUCGGAUGUGAAAUCCCACGGCUCAACCGUGGAAGUGCAUUCGAAACUGCAGGGCUAGAGUCCUGGAGAGGAAGGUGGAAUGCUUGGUGUAGAGGUGAAAUUCGUAGAUAUCAAGCGGAACACCGGUGGCGAAGGCGGCCUUCUGGACAGUGACUGACGCUGAGACGCGAAAGCGUGGGGAGCAAACAGG